rnacentral:tRNA from 16 species
UGGGUUGUAGCCAAAUUGGUAAGGCGGGGGACUCUGAAUCCCUAAUGUAUCGGUUCGAGCCCGGUCAACCCAA